CCGAGUUGCCAAAGAAGAUCUACAUAAUGACGUCAAUACUACUCUUCCACUGCUGCACUAACUCCCAGGGCCAAGUAGAGAGUGAUAUUUGUAAGGAGAUGAGAGAUGAUGAGCAGGAGAUAAUAUUAAAAUUCUGCGAGGAGUUGAGUGAUAUGGAAGUUACUGUUAAUAAUAUCAAUACAGCUAUAAAAGAAGCCUUUGAAAUGAGAAAUAGAAAUGCGACAGAAUCGAGAAUUGAGACACCGAACUCAUCAAUGCAAGUGAUGAUAUCAACACAAAAGAAGCCAAAGCUCACUUUCAAGUCAUCUAUCACUGUUUUGCCUUCCGUUGUUACAGAGACAUCGAUGUCGAGAUCCUCGUUAGAAGGAUUUUCUGAUAUUUCCUGUUAUCCGGUAACAUACGGAAAGUUUAAUACUAACCAAAUAGUCAUGUCUUCCGAUUCUAAAGAUACGGAUGUAUCGAAUUAUGAUUUAGGCACAGAGAAGUCAAAAUGUCAAGAAGACUGCUCAUGUACGAAAUGCCUAACAUCAACAACUUGUUGUGGUGAUGCAGGUCGGUCUAUGGUUGAAUGUGAUCAGCCCAUGAAAAAGAUCAUUUCUCAAUGGAACUGGAAAAUAUGUAUUAUAGUUUCAAGCGCUUUUUUAUUGUUGACUCUCAUAAUUAUUCUAA